UUAGAUUUCAAACAAGGCUUUAUCAACCUGCGAUCUCAAUACUUUCAAAACCAGAGCAGACCAUGUGGCUUGAUGCUUUUCUGAAGAAUCUUCACUGGGAAAAUAUUACAUAGACACAACUCAGCACAUUUCGCUCACUGUCAAAGAAUUGGAUGACAUAUGGCUGUUAGAAGGCAACAGGAAGAGAGAGCAACUGGGCCUGGCUUGAGCUUCAGAAACCACAAAGGCCAUUCUCAGCGAUCAUGUUCUCCAACAAGAUCAUACCCUCUUACCUGUCAAGUAGCUCCACUCCUAAUGACUCAGCAUUCAAAUAUAUGAGCUAUGGGGGCCAUUCCUACCAACCCAGUAAGUACAAAGCAACAACACCAGCAUCUUCACAGACAUCACUCUCAUUCCAUGGUCUACAGAGUGAGUUCCAGGACUACAGAAAGGAUUGGGGAGGGGGGGAAGAAAUGUAC
rnacentral:lncRNA from 1 species